UUAUCUAUAAGUGUAUUUUUCGCAAAGUUGAGAUUAUUUGGUUGGUUUUUCAGUUCAUGGCUAAAUUAAGUAAUAUAUAGGCUAGGGUGCAUAAAUAUGAUAAUGCGCAGUAACACACAUUUCACCACUCAACUAGAAAACACCCUCCAAGCCUCGUUUACACCACUUUCAAUCGAUUUUAACGCGUAAUUACGGGUAGCAGGUUUUGCACCAUUACAGAAAAAGUAUAUUUGAGUUUAAUUUAUCCUGAAAUGCUUAUUUAUAAUGCUUUUGUAAUAUGGGAUACAAGUCACUAUAGGAAGGGUGAUUCUAGGUCCUUUCCAGUAAUUAAUAAUGUAUCUGAUCAGAAUAUAACGUCAUCUAUUGAAAAACGAUCAAACUUUAAUGUACUUUUGAAAAGUGAUCAAGCUAUGCUGUCUUCUGACAAUUCA
rnacentral:misc_RNA from 1 species